CUGUCCACUCAGGGAACGCGGCGCCCUGAAACACGGAGCCUGGACCUGCCGCCGCUGCCGCCUUUGCAGGUGUGUGUUCGCAGCUCUGCACUGUCUCCCCCGGCAGACGCCGGGCAGCUGCGAUCUUCCAGAAAGAAUGCAGGACCACACAUCAUCACCUGUAGAUGUAACUCACAGGCCAAAGGAGUGAGAAAAGUGUGCUUCCAGUCCCAAAACUCUGCCAUUGUCAUUGUCUGAAACUGACUUCAUCGGCCACACUCUUCUGACUUCAAAAAGAGCUGUGAAGUGUGUGAUCGUAUGUGGACAGUACUGAACCCAUACAGAUCUAGACAUUCUACUAACAAAGGAUAGAAGAGAUGCUUUAGAGUCACCAUGACGACCAUGGACUGUAGCACCAUGAGGAGGAAUAACCAUGGGAGACAUUUAUGUCAGGAGAGUUGGUAAGAGAUGGUGAUUUUUAUAUGGAGGAGCGCAGAGAUAAAGAAAAGUUGGGAUAACUUUUUUUUUUUUUUUCUGAUUUCUGGCUCGGGCUGUUGUAAAUGGUGGUACCAAUGGUGAUACAUGCUUCAGGAGACUUUGGCAGUUCAUUGUUAGGCACGGUGAAUUUGAUGUCACUGUGAGAGACUACUCACAGGACUCCCUUAAACUGGCAUGGCAGCAACAACGAAUAGAUACAAGUUGGCCAUGCAACAGUUCCUUGGUGUAUGAUUCGGUGUCCCGAAAAGUCAAAAGGACAAACAAAAAAAAAAAGUUAAUUAUAAUGUCAAUUAGCUAGUAUAGAAUGAAAUUCUGAGCAGCUCAGCGGAUUGGUUUCAUAAUAAGGAGCACUGCUUAGCUCUCCACACAUGCCUGUGUUUGUGUAUAUGGGUGGGAAACAAACCACACGCUGUCAUUCAGCAAACUGCAAUUCCACUUCCCCCAGAGAACCUCAUGGACCAAUUUCACCAGGCAGAGUACACAAUCUGCUUCUUUCUCACAACAUCGAAUUCUAUUUCUUUACUCGGUUAUAUGCUCUCAUAUCCUGAAUACUACUCUCUCUUUCUAGAAUAUAGUAGUUUAAAUGCUUAUUUAAAAUAUAAAGUAUGUUGGCUAACUGAACAUAAUGAAAAAUUAAUAAAAAAUAAACCAAAAUAAUUAUAGAAAUACUAAUACUGCAAUUUUAGAAACAAUAAUAAAAACAACAGUAAUAAUCCUUGUCCCUAUGUAACGACUAAGUGCUAAGCUCUGUUCUGCGUGUGCAUGUAUGUACCUGCGUAUGUGCAUGCAUCUCUGUCAUAUACUGUGUUGUCUCUUAGUCUAGAAAAAAAACUUUGAUAAAAAUUCAUUUGAUAAAAAAUUGAUUUGAUAAAAAUUCAUUUCAGAUAAAAUUUCAUGUCUGAUUGAUGUGUUGUAUAAUAAGACAAUAUAAAAUAUUUCAAAGAUACUGUA